rnacentral:rRNA from 1 species
GACACGCUGGCGGCGUGCCUAACACAUGCAAGUCGAACGAAGCAUAGCAAUAUGCUUAGUGGCGGACGGGUGAGUAACGCGUGAACAAUCUGCCCUGUACAAAGGAAUAGCCUCGGGAAACCGGGAUUAAAACCGUAUGACACUUUAGUAUCGCAUGAUAAGAAAGUCAAAUCGAAUAGAGGUAUGGGAUGAGUUCGCGUCUGAUUAGCUGGUUGGCGGGGUAACGGCCCACCAAGGCGACGAUCAGUAGCCGGCCUGAGAGGGUGAACGGCCACACUGGAACUGAGACACGGUCCAGACUCCUACGGGAGGCAGCAGUGGGGAAUAUUGCACAAUGGAGGGAACUCUGAUGCAGCGACGCCGCGUGAGUGAAGAAGGUCUUCGGAUCGUAAAACUCUGUCCUUGGUGAAGAAAAGGACGGUAGCCAAGGAGGAAGCCCCGGCUAACUACGUG